GAGAAUAUUCUUUCGAUUUCAAAGGAAGAACGACGCUUUUCGAGGAUAAUUCGGGCAAGAUUGAAGAUCUUGCGUUUUCUAAAUCACCGAGGAAUUUGCCGAUUGUUUAAUACCAGCUUUACAAAAUAUCUCCGCACUGUGCUAGCAAAAGUGUUAUGUCAAGGUUAUGUCAAGGUUAUGUCAAGAUUAGCAAAGAUUGAAUCUUGCGUUUCCUAAAUCACCGAGGAAUUUGCCGAUUGUUUAAUACCAGCUUUACAAAAUAUCUCCGCACUGUGCUAGCAAAAGUGUUAUGUCAAGGUUAUGUCAAGGUUAUGUCAAGAUUAGCAAAGAUUGAAUCUUGCGUUUCCUAAAUCACCGAGGAAUUUGCCGAUUGUUUAAUACCAGCUUUACAAAAUAUCUCCGCACUGUGCUAGCAAAAGUGUUAUGUCAA